rnacentral:lncRNA from 1 species
CUUACAGAUGUAAUGUCUAUGACAGUGUGACUUAUUUUAUUUCCAAAAAUGCCUCUAAUGAGCUGAUUGAAAAAUUCAUUGGACAUUGUUAACAAUGGUUUCCAUUAAAAAAUAAAGAUGAACAUAAGGAGGUAAAUCAAAAGGACUUGAAACGUGGAGAAACAGAGCCCCACUCAUACUUUCCCCUUUUGGACUUGGAAAGGACAGUUGUAUUUAUGAAAUGGUUAUCAUUUAAACACGUUAAAUGAACAAGGAGACAAGAAAGAUUCGAAACCUGGAGAAGUGAAGCCCCGUUAAUGUUUUUUAGAAAAAACAUGCGGUCCAAUUCCACUGAUGGAUAUAAAGUUGCGCAUGUGAUGUUGUGUCUUCUGCUCUGUGGCUCAUUUCACUAUCAAUGGUAUCAUUAUUCGUUUCAAAAGUAUCUAUUGUUAGAGGCACUCUCUGCUGUCAACGCUUAGGAAUAACACUCGAGCACCUUCGGUAAUCCUCGAGAUUGUUCAACUAAUGGGAAAGAAGUAAAGUUCAGUUUGGUCCUAUUGAAACAACCAAUGUCCACAUGGGCAUCACUUUACCUGGAUUGUUCUCUCGAUUAGCUGUGUACAUCUUUGCCUUGCAACAUUAUGAAGUUAAUUUUCAACAGAUAAGCAAGAACAAGAGGAGAUUUACUUGAAUUCCACUCAAAGAACAAGUUUUCUUCUUUGGCAUUCCUUCUGGAUUUGGUUUGCUUUUUACACCUGAGUUUGGGAUGUUACAAUCUACAGUUAAUUAAGAUCGACGUUGGAGAAAACAAAGAUGACCCCGUAGUUGAA